CAGAGUCUGUGUGCACCUAACAUAAGGCCGCCUCACAUACAGCUGACGAAAUCAGGCUUGUACUGUGUGUAAGCUAUUGUGCAACAAUUGCCUCAUUGUAAAAACAAAA